GACGAACGCUGGCGGCGUGCUUAACACAUGCAAGUCGAACGGAAAGGCCCUGCUUUUGUGGGGUGCUCGAGUGGCGAACGGGUGAGUAACACGUGAGUAACCUGCCCUUGACUUUGGGAUAACUUCAGGAAACUGGGGCUAAUACGGGAUAGAGGCUCCUGCGGAAGGGGGGGGGUGGGAAGGUUUCGGCGGUUGGGAAUGGACUCGCGGCUUAUCAGCUUGUUGGUGGGGUAGUGGCUUACCAAGGCUUUGACGGGUAGCCGGCCUGAGAGGGUGACCGGCCACAUUGGGACUGAGAUACGGCCCAGACUCCUACGGGAGGCAGCAGUGGGGAAUAUUGCACAAUGGGCGGAAGCCUGAUGCAGCAACGCCGCGUGCGGGAUGACGGCCUUCGGGUUGUAAACCGCUUUCGCCUGUGACGAAGCGUGAGUGACGGUAAUGGGUAAAGAAGCACCGGCGAACUACGU
rnacentral:rRNA from 1 species